rnacentral:rRNA from 1 species
CGCGAUUCGCCCUUCGGGGUGCAGCAGGCGCGAAAACUUUACAAUGCCGGCAACGGCGAUAAGGGAACCUCGAGUGCCAGGUUACAAAUCUGGCUGUCGUGAUGCCUAAAAAGCAUUGCAUAGCAAGGGCCGGGCAAGACCGGUGCCAGCCGCCGCGGUAACACCGGCGGCUCGAGUGGUAACCGUUAUUAUUGGGUCUAAAGGGUCUGUAGCCGGCCGGAUAAGUCUCUUGGGAAAUCUGGCAGCUUAACUGUCAGGCUUUCAGGAGAUACUGUCUGGCUCGAGGCCGGGAGAGGUGAAAGGUACUUCAGGGGUAGGGGUGAAAUCUUGUAAUCCUUGAAGGACCACCAGUGGCGAAGGCGUCUCACCAGAACGGACCUGACGGCAAGGGACGAAAGCUAGGGGCACGAACCGGAUUAGAUACCCGGGUAGUCCUAGCCGUAAACGAUACUCGCUAGGUGUCGGCCACGGUGCGACCGUGGUCGGUGCCGUAGGGAAGCCGUGUAGCGAGCCACCUGGGAAGUACGGCCGCAAGGCUGAAACUUAAAGGAAUUGGCGGGGGAGCAC